rnacentral:rRNA from 1 species
UACGAACGCUGGCGGCGUGCUUAACACAUGCAAGUGGAGCGACGAACCGGGGGCUUGCCCCGGGGCAGAGCCGCGAACGGGUGAGUAACACGUGGGUAACCCACCCCGAUGACCGGGACAACCCGAGGAAACUCGGGCUAAUACCGGAUGUGCUCCUUGACCUCGAGGUCAAGGCGUAAAGAUAGCUUCGGACCUUCGCAUCGGGACGGCCCGCGGCCCAUUAGCUUGUUGGUGGGGUAAAGGCCUACCAAGGCGACGA